UACAGAGGGUGCAAGCGUUGUUCGGAAUUACUGGGCGUAAAGCGUGCGUAGUCGGUAUUGAGAGUCACGGGUGAAAUCCCCAAGCUUAACUUGGGAACUGCCUGUGAGACCUCAGUACUAGAGUGUGAGAGGGGAUAGUGGAAUGCCAAGUGUAGCGGUGAAAUGCGUAGAGAUUUGGCGGAACACCGGUGGCGAAGGCGGCUAUCUGGCUCACAACUGACGAUCAGGCACGAAAGCGUGGGGAGCAAACAGG
rnacentral:rRNA from 1 species